ensembl:lncRNA
GCCUGUCCCUCUGCUCUUCCUCCGCUCACUCACACCAUGGCCUGCGGGACGCCCCCCCCCCCCCCGAGCAGACAGACUUACUGAACCUGCUGCAUGAGCAGCCUGCUGUCCAGCUAUUUUCCGUUUAGGAUCAAGAUGAGACAACCCACGAAAACUCCACAAGACAGAGCACCGAUACGUGCUUUUGUUGGUAUGUCUGCUCUCCCAGAGGAGUCCAGAUGUGAGGCACUGGAAGGGACUGGAGGGAUCUUAAUGGCUCCAAGUGUAUCUAUCUGAGACCAGAGAGGAAGAGAGUAUGCUUCUUUCCCACAUCAACGGGACCGAAAGGUUGAACUUCUUCAGCUCCUUUAGGACGGACAUCCUCUUGGCUAACAAUUACGCUGCUCCCACUUGAGACCCACAGCAUCGAUGAGGGAGUCCCACGGGGUUAAUAGGGGCGUUCACUUAAAAAAACAUUCAAAGAACCGUGUAGAUGCUGGCGCGCAAAAACAAAGGUGUUUUAAUUCUGCUAGAAGUGGAUAAAUAAAUGAUUUUGAAUUGUAGUCUUCUUCCAGCGUCUCUGUAGACCAGCAGUUAUUAUUUCUGACAGAAGAGAAUCCUUCAAUGAACUUAUUCACUUGGAUUACAUCUCAUGCUUGUAUGGUAGUUGAGUAGUGUGCUUGUUAUUUUUGGCCUUGUUUAAUCCCAAUGGGGAAGAUUGUUGCAUAGGGUCAGUAAAAAACAUAUUAAACUGUAUCAAAACAAAUUAGUUUGAUAAAUGAAAUUUCAUAUUUCAUAUCGUUUGGGGUGUUGAAUGUCCAUUACCAAUAAAAGGGUCCCGAGGACAAAAAAAGUUCCUUAACCAAAAAACUUCCAGUCGACUUCCCAGGCUUUUCCUUGUUCUGGGCUCCUCCAUGUAGGGCCGGUUCCCAGUCUGCUGUUCGCUUUUCCUUCCAGCCAGGUGUUGGUCCCCAGCCCGGCCUCAAUUGGGUGCCUUAAACACCUACAGCUGUGGGAUUGUUGAGGCCUUCUGGGAAAUGCAGUGUCAGUGGCGGCCAUCUUGUACCUAUUUUGCGCAGGGAUGCUGUGGCCCUCUAUUACCUUGCCCCUUAGGAUGCCACAUCUCAUUUUCAGGAUAGCAAAAUAAAUGACUUAAUUGCAGUGCUGCAAUUCAGUGUCCUCUCUUAUUUUGUGUAGCGUAGAUUCUCUUUGGGGAAUAAUGAGCACGAGGCGACCAGACUGGUUUCGCUCUCUGAAGUUUGUGCCAGAAACGCACAUCCUCGUUAGACUGCUCCACUGGUACUGAGAACUGAGAGUUCCCAGCAUCGCCCUUUGUGAGCCAUUGUGUUUGCAUCACUCUCCAGCCCCUAAACCUUCAAGUGUAUAAUUGAGUGGCUACAGAAUAUUUUCAUUAAGUCAGAAGUAUGUGUCCGGACAGAGUGAACGUCUCUGUACUCAGCCUAAUGUACUUCAGAGAACUCUGCUACGGGGGAAUUGAAUUGAAGGUCUUAAAGGGUCCACUUUGAAAUAGAUCAGUACCCGCUUACACCCCCCCCCCACCCCACCACUCACCCUGGAUAUGAGAGGUGCGGGCAUACAUUUCAAAAUGGACAGCGAAAGAAAUUAUUGAGUUUUCGUCAUUUUGAUCUGAGUAUUGAGAGGGGAUAAAAAGGCACAGUCCAAAGCGCAUCAGAAAAAAGGAGCUUACAUUUCCUAUAAUAUUAAACCGAAGUCAGCCUUUGAUCUUUUAAUCCUGCGCUCAUAAGGUUGUGAGAUAAGCAGGCAUGACUAACGUCUCUUUCUAAUAGUGAAGAAAGAGCAGAGCCCACAUAAUGAGCUCUUUUACCCCUUUUGAAGACAAAUUGGACUGAAAUUCCAUAUUUAAUGGAUCUUAC